AUUGCGCGCAGUUUAGGGGGUUCAGGCGCGCAGGCGCGUUGCGCGCAUUUUAGGCACACCCUUAUAGGGGUGUUGUUGUAAUGUAAAGAACAGUCUUUGUAGCUGUUAAAAAAAUGGAUUAUCCAACAGCGAACAUCGUAAAAAACUACUUAAAUCUUGGAUUUCGAGGGCGGGAAAUAUCAGAAGUUGUAAACAUUCCCUAUGGUACUUUGAGAUACUUCAUGUCAAGACAUGGCCUAUCAUUGAGAUGCACAUACUCUCAAAUUUCUGCAGAUGACUAUUGCAAUGGGAAAUCGUGUUCCAGGAGCCAGAGUCCGGGAAGCAAUGACUGUAUUGUUUGGGCCAAGGCCUCUGCAUCGAAAGCUAAAGAGACGCCAAUAUAAUGUUCGAGCUCCCUUGUCGGUCGUCCAUAUUGAUGGAAAUCACAAUCUCAUUAUGUACAUGGCUAUUCAUUCUUCUAAUUCCAAGCAAACACGGGCGUUUCACAUUACAGUUUUGUCUGAAUUGUUUAAGUUUAAAGAGCACGUAGAGAAACAGACAAAUUCCGUUAAACCUUGACAAGUUUUUCUCUUCUCGGUGCACAGGUCGAUGUGACUAGACCACAAUGUUAUAGGAACGUUUUUUUCGUAGAUGUCCACCAUCUCUUCCGACAAAAUCGUACUGAAUACCCCUCUUCAAGGGAACAAGAACAAUCAAUUUUCCCUGAAAUCGCUAAGUGGAAAGAAAAACAUAACUCUAUUUUUUGACUAAAAUGAAUAACUUAUCUAUAUUACCUUAAGUAAGUGGGCGGUUGGUGUUGUGUAGUGCUUCAUUGGUAAUUGACGGCUGAGUCUCUGCAACUUGGUGCAAAUGUAGAAUUGGUCUAUUUCGUUUAGACGUGGAAAAGUCCUAUGCCAAGUUGAAAAAUUUUUUUUAACAUUUAAUUAUUGCAUGAUUGAAAUGGUAAUACCUCUUGAAUACGCAAAAAACAUUAUUUGGCGACCCAUUGCAACGAAAUUUUACGUCGCAGCGCAAUCCAAGGCCGGAUGCUGAAAAACUUUCAUGCCCCAAAGUAGGAGGUGGUUCUCUGGCGUCAGCGGUUGCUAUCAGGAAUUACAUCUUUUGUAAAAGAUCCUUUUCAUCCUUAAGUGCUACAAAACAUGAUAUGGAAUAAAAAAAUUUUACUGCAA